AUGCAUCUAUUGACAGGCCGCAAGUUUGACACUAGCUUUGCAGGUCAUUUUUACUGAGAUGCAAGAUUAAGUUUCUUUGCGCUUUCUGCCUGCCUUCCCUGUGGCAGCUCGGAUUGAAUAAAAGAACACAGUA